rnacentral:rRNA from 1 species
CCACAUUACUCUUGAGGUGAAAUGCUUACACUUUCAUUUAUAGACCAAAUAAUGUUUAAUUUAUAAUUUGUAAUUAUAAUAUUAAAUCUUAAUCUAACCUAUGGCAUUCAUCAUUUACUGCAAAGACUACUUGGGUAUCUAAUCCUGUUUGUGCUCUGUGCCUUCGUCCUUUAACGUCAGUUUCUACAUAGAGGGCUGCCUUCGCCUUUACCGAGUCCCUUUGGUAUCAUAGAAUUUCAUCUCUCCUCCUCAAGUACUGCCCUCUUAUAUAAAACUCUAGUCAAGUACUAACAUUAUAGAAGAUAUAUUGACCGUCUAGGUACCCUUUAAACCUAAUUAAGAUGAAUAACACUAGUCUCUUACGUAUUACCGCGACUGCUGGCACGCAAUUAGUCAAGACACGAUAUAUAUACUGUCAUUAUCAAUAUAUAAACAAAGCUUUAUUCAAUUUUAAUACAAUCCUAUAGAUCAUAUUCAAAGAUAUGAUCAAAAUAGGACUUGCCACUUCUCCAAGUUGCCAGUUCAGCCGUUAG